CCCAUGUACUCAUCGUGGAACACGGAAGC
rnacentral:piRNA from 2 species